rnacentral:rRNA from 1 species
AGAACGAACGCUGGCGGCAGGCUUAACACAUGCAAGUCGAACGCGUGUAGCAAUACACGAGCGGCGCACGGGUGAGUAACGCGUGGAUAUCUGCCUUUUGGUUCGGAAUAACCCCCGGGAAACUGGGGCUAAUACCGGAUGGUUCCUACGGGAUAAAGAUUUAUCGCCAAAAGAUGAGUCCGCGUACGAUUAGCUAGUUGGUGAGGUAAUGGCUCACCAAGGCGACGAUCGUUAGCUGGUCUGAGAGGACGAUCAGCCACACUGGGACUGAGACACGGCCCAGACUCCUACGGGAGGCAGCAGUGGGGAAUAUUGGACAAUGGGGGGCAACCCUGAUCCAGCCAUGCCGCGUGAGUGAUGAAGGCCUUCGGGUUGUAAAGCUCUUUUGGCGGGGACGAUGAUGACGGUACCCGCAGAAUAACGCCCCGGCUAACUUCGUGCCAGCAGCCGC